rnacentral:lncRNA from 10 species
UAACAGCCCAAGGGCCGAUCCGGAAUCAGAGAAAAACACUCCGUGGGGGAGGCCAGAGGAAUAUUUAGUUUGUGUUUUAUUAGCCCUUGCUGGGUCUCCAGAUCUGAACCCCGGCGGGGCCUGUGUGCUCAGAUCUUCCCACAGCGUACCCCUGAAGCCCAGCUCAGGCAGCCUGAGGAUUAGAAUAAAUGAAAAUCAUUAUCUGAGCUGUUUGGCACACGUGCGUGUGCAAGAGCCAGGGGCCAUUUUCAAGGGAAAAUGCCCGUUGCAGUUUCCUAAAUCCUUUCUCAUUUUUGACUUAUUUGAUCCUGGCAACAACUUGGUGAGAUUGGUUUAUCCGUGAGUCCAUUUCACAGGCAGGAAAGUGGUGUCGCAGGGAGGCCGAGUGACUUGUCCACAGCCACGCAGCUGGGAAACGGGGAGACAGAUUCAGAUCCGAACUCCACAGAAACCAUUGUGUCUGCCGUUGCCAUGGCAAUGGGGAUGUGGCAGGAGCGCCAGGCUCUCAGGCUUUCCAGGGCCCGUGGAGGCCGGCAAGGGCGGUCGAUUUCUCCCAGGAGCCCCUGACUCACGCCCACCUUCAGAGGCCCCCGGGAGUGAAGAAGACAGCCUUCCCACCCGUUUCCAGCAGGGCUGGCUGCAUCCAGGAAGACAGCGCUGCUGGUGAGUGGUUCGGCUUUGUUUCAGACCACUCAAAGAAAUCAUCUAGAACAACGUCCGCAAGACUGGCGGUGCAACUGUCCCCCUUGGAACCUCUCGGGAACACAGCCUCUGUCUCCUCACCGCAGAGCAGCUGCGUCAGACUCCCAGACGGCGGGGCCUAGGGAUCUGUGUUUUGGUUUUGGGAUCUGUGCAAAUCCACAUGACUCAAUAAUCCAAACAUACAGAGAGCCUGGGAACCCUUACCCCGCUCUGGCGCCCUAUGUGUCCGCUUUCAUUGGCUUCUUGUAUUUCCGGCUUGUUUUCUUUAGGGAGGCAGCAAAUACAAGAUACGGUCCACUUUUAUCUUUCCCCGCUCAGAAAAUAAAGAUACCACAGCCCAGGCUUCCGCACCUUGCUUUUCU